CUCCCACCGUGCAGCCCAUCCCCCCACAAAAUGUCAAUUUCAUAUUAACAGAGAUAUAAAAUGCAUAACUUGAUGAAAACCACAGAUAAAGUCACAGGAGGUCAUUCACAUUAUAUUGUUGGAUAAUGUGACAAAGCCAGUGAGUCCAAGAGAUGAGGUCGAAAGUCAGGUGAAGAUGACAGUUCAGUGAAAUGUUGACAUACCCUCUUCUAAAAAAAAGCAAACUACAUAUUGAAGUGGAGCAAAACCAAUGGGAGCUGUCCAAGGAGACUGCCUGUGUUGCUGGCCAUCUGAAUCACAGAGUUUGUCGCCGCUGAUGUGAAAAGGGGGAAUGGUUUGCCUUAGA